rnacentral:piRNA from 1 species
UCCCUGUGCCAGCCGGAUGGAGGUUGCUAA